AGCGGCGUACGGGUGAGUAGCACGUGGGUAAUUUACCUCUUAGUGGGGAAUAACCCUGGGAAACCGGGGCUAAUACCGCAUAAGCCUGAGAAGGGAAAGCUAGAAAUGGCGCUGAGAGAGGAGCCCGCGGCCGAUUAGCUAGUUGGUGAGGUAACGGCUCACCAAGGCGAUGAUCGGUAGCCGGCCUGAGAGGGCACACGGCCACACUGGCACUGAAACACGGCCCAGACUCCUACGGGAGGCAGCAGUGAGGAAUUUUCCGCAAUGGAGGCAACUCUGACGGAGCAACGCCGCGUGCAGGAGGACGCAUUUCGGUGUGUAAACUGCUUUUCUCAGGGACGAGUGAGGACGGUACCUGAGGAAGAAGCCCCGGCUAACUACGUGCCAGCAGCCGCGGUAAGACGUAGGGGGCGAGCGUUGUCCGGAGUUACUGGGCGUAAAGGGCCCGCAGGCGGGCUGGUGCGUGUGCGGUGACAGCGCGUGGCUAAACUGCGCGAGGGUCGCACAGACGACCAGCCUUGAGGGCCAGAGAGGGACCUGGAAGUCCGGGUGGAGCGGUGAAAUGCGUAGAAAUCCGGAGGAACACCGAAAGCGAAGGCAGGGUCCUGGCUGGCACCUGACGCUCGUGGGCGAAAGCUAGGGGAGCGAACGGGAUUAGAUACCCCGGUAGUCCUAGCCGUAAACGAUGACCACUAGGUGUGCGACGUAUCGACCCGUUGCGUGCCGGAGGCAACCCAUUAAGUGGUCCGCCUGGGGAGUACGGUCGCAAGAUUAAAACUCAAAGGAAUUGACGGGGACCCGCACAAGCAGCGGAGCGUGUGGUUUAAUUCGA
rnacentral:rRNA from 1 species